rnacentral:rRNA from 1 species
AUUGAACGCUGGCGGCAUGCCUUACACAUGCAAGUCGAACGGUAACAGGUUAAGCUGACGAGUGGCGAACGGGUGAGUAAUAUAUCGGAACGUGCCCAGUCGUGGGGGAUAACUGCUCGAAAGAGCAGCUAAUACCGCAUACGACCUGAGGGUGAAAGCGGGGGAUCGCAAGACCUCGCGCGAUUGGAGCGGCCGAUAUCAGAUUAGGUAGUUGGUGGGGUAAAGGCCCACCAAGCCAACGAUCUGUAGCUGGUCUGCGAGGACGACCAGCCACACUGGGACGGAGACACGGCCCAGACUCCUACGGGAGUCAGCAGUGGGGAAUUUUGGACAAUGGGCGCAAGCCUGAUCCAGCCAUGCCGCGUGCGGGAAGAAGGCCUUCGGGUUGUAAACCGCUUUUGUCAGGGAAGAAAAGGUUCUGGUUAAUACCUGGGACUCAUGACGGUACCUGAAGAAUAAGCACCGGCUAACUACGUGCCAGCCGCCGCGGUAA